GGGGAUGAUCGGUUUCGACGGUGGGUAGUGAUCCAGGGGAAGCGGGUCGAGGAUGAGGUUCAUCUCGUAAACGCUAUCUCGAAAAAAUAAGUGCAAAGAAUACACGCACUGAUUUCGCACUUGCAGCUUAAUUUAUAGCAAGGUUUUAGAAGCGAAUCCGUCAUACUAUGACUGCUUCCAUCAUAGAUACAUGGCGUCGACUUAGGGAGCCACUGGGGUUGUAACUUGUUUUCGGUUACCGCUCGACUUUUAGAAAACUGAGCUUGAAGCAUCUAGCCUAGGUGAAUGUGAAAGCUGAGAAAUUAUAAGCUAGGAUGCACCCGGAGAAGUCCUGGGGGUUGCUUAUCGGACCGGGGUUCAAUUCCCCGCAUCUCCACAA
rnacentral:tmRNA from 1 species